rnacentral:lncRNA from 1 species
AAAUGCAAAUUAUAAGGCUAGACUUUCUGUCUAUUGUUUUAAAAUUUAAAACUUUCGUCGACACGUACUUAAGAGUUUUAAGAACUUGAUUAUUGUUUUAAACUAUAUUUUAGGAAUAAAGAUCUAGAAUAAUGUUAGGCUAGCUAGAGACAAGAAGAAAAUUAAUAUAUAAUAGUCACAAUUCUAGAACUCGACAUAAAUAUAACAGAUUAAAGAAUAGACCAACAAAUGAUUAAAAUGAGAUUCUAAAGUUCUACCAAAAAAAAAGUCUAUCCACCGAAGACCAUAUAUAUACUAGGGGAAUUUACGUGUUUACCAUUUUUAUGCUACCAUUUUUCAUUUUUACCACCAUUAAAAAGACAUUUUCAAAAAUACAUUAUUCAUUAAGUGGCAAAAAACUCUUAUGUCUUGUUCUUUAUAUAUAUAAUAAAUAAAUAUUUAAAUAAUUAAAAAUAUAAAAAUAUAAAAAAUAUUUUUUUUUUCUUCGAAUUAUACUAUUUCGAAAUUCAAACCUUAAACCCUAAAACUCAACUCUAAACCUUAAACCAUCAAUCCUAAACCUUUUUUUUGAAAUACGAACCCUAAACCCUAAACCAUCAAUCCUAAACCCUAAACCCCGAAACAUCAACUCUAAACCCUAAACUUUCAACUCUAAACCCUAAAACAUCAACUCUAAACCCAAAACUUAAACUUCAACUCUAAACCCUAAACUUCAACUCUAAACCCUAAACCAUCAACACUAAACCCUAAACUUUCAACACUAAACCAUAAACCCUAAAAAGUAAACUCUAAACUCUAAACGCUAAAAAAUUAACCCUAAAUCCUAAACAUCAACUCUAAACUUUAAACCCUAAACUUUCAACUCUAAACCCUAAACUCUAAACUCUAAACUCUAAAUCAUAAACCCUAAACCCUAAACUCUAAAUCCUAAAACUCUAGAGUUGAUGUUUUAAGGUUUAGAUUUGAAGGUUUAGGGUUUUAGGGUUUACGUUUAGAGUUUAGAGUUGAUGUUUUAGGAUUUAGAUUUGAAGGUUUAGGGUUUUAGGGUUUAGAGUUUGAAUUUCAGAAAAAUAUAGGGUUUAGGGUUUAGGGUUUACGUUUAGGGUUUAGAGUUGAUGUUUUAGGGUUUAGAUUUGAAAGUUUAGAGUUUAGGGUUUAGAGUUGAUGUUUUGGGGUUUAGGGUUUAGAGUUGAUGUUUCUUGGUUUAGAGUUUAGAGUUGAUGAUUUAAGGUUUAAAGUUGAUGUUUUAAGUUUUGAUUUAAGGUUUAGGGUUUAUGUUUAGGGUUUAGAGUUGAUGUUUUAGGGUUUAGAUUUGAAAGUUUAGGUUUUAGGGUUUAGAGUUGAUGUUUCGAGGUUUAGGGUUUAGAGUUGAUGUUUCAUGGUUUAGGGUUUAGAGUUGAUGAUUUAGGGUUUAGAGAUGAUGUUUCAAUUUUAGAUUAGUUAACCGUAUGUUUUUUUUUGUCAAAGUUAAUCAAAAGGUUAUGAAAGUCUUUUACCUUUCAUUAAAGAUGAAGGUAAAAAUAGUUAGCGUAAACAUGAAAAGUGGUAUUUUGAAAAUGAUAUUUUUGAAUGGUAUUUUUGGUAAUUUUCGUAUGUACUUUCUCAAAAAAGAAGACCAUAUAUCUAAAAAUGAAAUGAACUAUUUUCCGUUAUUUUUCUCGUUGAUAACCAAAACUUAAGAUAUUGUAUUUUAACUUUUAUUAGACUAGAUUGAAGUCCAUCUGGUUGUUUCAUUUUCAAUCACGAGUUGUGACGAUAAAAUGUUUGGUCUGAAAAAU